rnacentral:misc_RNA from 1 species
GAUGAAGAACGUAGCGAAAUGCGAUAAGUAAUGUGAAUUGCAGAAUUCAGUGAAUCAUCGAAUCUUUGAACGCACAUUGCGCCCCCUGGAAUUCCGGGGGGCAUGCCUGUUCGAGCGUCUCAGGGACGAACCCUCGCGCGGGUGUACGCGCGGUCGUGGCUGCGGUGGCGUGCCCGAGGCGGCGGCCACCGCGCUGGAAUCCAUGGGCGGACGCCUGCCGCGUGGCCGAGCGUGAUAUGACGCAUUGGCGCUCGUACGCGGCGAGGCUGCCAGCCCUGGCCCGUCUGUCGGGCGGGGGAGAGCAAGACACGUGAACUCCUCGAAUCAGGUAGGGAUACCCGCUGAACUUAAGCAUAUCAAUAAGCGGAGGA